UCCAGAAAAGAUCCAUACUCCCCUCACAGAGGAAAUUUCUGCCGUCCGGAGGGGGAGGGGAGAAAAAAUUGUUUCUGAUAAUAGUAAAUGUAUUAGGACAUCCGAAGGGGGUAGGGGGGUUAACUUCCUAUUUCCUCUGUGGGGGUGGUAUGGAUGUUUUCUGGAAUGACCCAAUAGUAUAAGCUAUUGAAAAAAAAUGCUGCGAAAGAGUGGAAAAAAAAAUCAUACAUGGUGAUGGGAUAGAAAAAAACUUGCACAUCAUGAUCCCAGAAAAAAACUCCCUGCCAGCAGUAAAUCACCCCCUCCCC